AACGAACGCUGGCGGCAUGCCUAACACAUGCAAGUCGAACGAGACCUUCGGGUCUAGUGGCGCACGGGUGCGUAACGCGUGGGAACCUGCCCUUAGGUUCGGAAUAACUCCCCGAAAGGGGUGCUAAUACCGGAUAGUGUCUUCGGACCAAAGAUUUAUCGCCUUUGGAUGGGCCCGCGUUGGAUUAGCUAGUUGGUAGGGUAAAAGCCUACCAAGGCGACGAUCCAUAGCUGGUCUGAGAGGAUGAUCAGCCACACUGGGACUGAGACACGGCCCAGACUCCUACGGGAGGCAGCAGUGGGGAAUAUUGGACAAUGGGCGAAAGCCUGAUCCAGCAAUGCCACGUGAGUGAUGAAGGCCUUAGGGUUGUAAAGCUCUUUUACCCGGGAUGAUAAUGACAGUACCGGGAGAAUAAGCUCCGGCUAACUCCGUG
rnacentral:rRNA from 1 species